CGGCCAUAUUUGAUUUUCAAUAUAUGAUAAACAACCGCAAAUUCAUUUGCCCAGUUAAAAUUUAAGGUGGGUUUGAUAAAUUAAAGGUCAUGGUUUGCUACAAAAUCCAAGGUUGGAAAUUUUUGCUUACAUAUCUCAAGAUAGUGUUUGCAGAUAUGUUUAAACCAAAUGCCAGAUCAUGCAACAUAUAAUCAGUAAUUUUCUUGGCGAUGGAAUUCACAAAAGAAACUCCUUUUCUUUUGGCUCAUAAGAUACAGUCUUCACCAAGGCACAAUUACCAACUAUUCGCAGACAUUUUCAAAUCUUGUGCUGCUGGUUUUAACACCAAACUAGGCAAAGCUCUUCACAGUUAUGCCAUAAAACUGGGCCAUAUUUCUUGCCAGGUUGUGUCCAAAGCCUUACUUAAUAUGUAUGCAAAAUGUGCACUUGUUGAUGAUUGCAAGAAACUGUUUGGACAGAUGGGUACCCUUGAUCCUGUUGUUUGGAACAUUGUAUUAUCUGGGUUUGCAAGUUCUCGUGGUUAUGAUGAUCAAGUGAUGAGGUUGUUCUAUAAUAUGCAUUUUAGUAACCAACCUAAGCCUAACUCUGUGACUGUUGCUAUUGUCCUUCCCGUGUGUGCACGGUUAGGAAAUAUACGUGGAGGGAAGAGUGUUCAUGCGUUUGUGAUUAAAUCUGGACUUGAAGCACAAACAUUAGUAGGAAAUGCUCUUGUAUCUAUGUAUGCAAAAUGUGGGUUAGUCCACAAGGAUGCGUACUCUGUAUUUGGCAGCAUUAAGGACAAAGAUGUGGUUUCUUGGAAUGCAAUCAUUUCAGGUUUUUCUGAAAAUAAAUUGAUUACUAAUGCAUUGAGAUUGUUCAGCUGGAUGCUGAGAGGAUCAGUAGAACCGAAUUAUGCAACAAUUGUGAAUAUUCUACCUAUAUGUGCUUCCUUGGAUAAGAGUAUGGGCUACUGCAUUGGGAGAGAGACUCAUUGUUAUGUGUUGCGCCGGGCUGAACUAAUAUCAAAUGUUUCAGUCUGCAAUGCUUUGUUGAGCUUUUACUUGAGAGUUGGACAGAUGGAAGAAGCGGAAUUGUUGUUUCGGAGGAUGAAAUCAAGAGAUCUGGUUUCGUGGAAUGCCAUUAUUGCUGGAUAUGCAUCAAAUGGUGAGUGGUUAAAAGCAUUGAAUUUUUUUUGUGAAUUAAUCUCUGUAGAGAUGAUAAGGCCAGAUUCUGUGACUUUUGUCAACAUUCUUCCUGCCUGUGCAUACUUACUGAACUUGAAGGUUGGAAAAGAGAUUCAUGGGUACUAUCUCCGUCAUCCUUACCUAGAUGAGGAUGCAACUGUGGGGAAUGCUUUAGUUAAUUUCUAUGCAAAAUGUAAUGAAAUAGAAGCAGCAUAUCAGACAUUUUUGUUGAUUUCUAGGAAAGACUUGAUAUCGUGGAAUUCUAUACUCGAUGCCUUUUCAGAGAGUGGAUAUGAUAUUCAGUUUCUUAACCUUUUACACAGUAUGCAUUGGGAAGGAAUUAGACCCGACUCCAUUACUAUCUUAACCAUAGUUCAUUUUUGUGCUAUUGUUUUGAGUGUAAAUAUGGUUAAGGAAACACAUGGCUAUUCAAUUAAGGCAGGUCUUUUAUCAGGUGAUAUUGAGCCUAAUGUGGGAAAUGCAAUACUUGAUGCAUAUGCAAAAUGUGGUAACAUGGAUUAUGCGCUCAGUAUUUUUCACAGUUUGGCGGAGAAGCAAAAUUUGGUCACAUUAAAUUCAAUGAUCUCAGGUUAUGUGAAUUGUGGAUCGUAUGAUGAAGCAUAUAUGAUAUUUAAGCGGAUGUCUACAAUGGAUAUCACCACUUGGAAUCUAAUGAUUCGAGCUUAUGCUGACAGUAAUUGUCCUGAUCAAGCUCUUAGCCUAUUCCUUCAGUUACAAGUUCAAGGAUUGAAGCCUGAUGCCAUGACUAUUAUGAGCCUUCUUCCGGUAUGUUCUCAGAUGGCCUCAGUCCACUUAUUGAGGCAGUGCCAUGGGUAUGUAAUAAGAGCUUGUUUCAAUGAUGUCCGUUUGGAAGGAUCUCUUGUAGAUUUAUAUGCGAAAUGUGGCAGCAUAGGCAGUGCCUAUAAGAUUUUCCAGUCAAGCAUACAAAAAGAUCUGGUUAUGUUUACUGCUAUGGUUGGUGGCUAUGCGAUGCAUGGGAUGGGAGAGGAAGCACUUAAAGUUUUUUCUCAAAUUCUUGAAUUGGGUGUAAAGCCGGACCAUGUUGUCAUUACUGCUGUAUUAUUUGCUUGCAGUCAUACUGGCCUUGUAGAUGAAGGACUCAAGAUAUUUCACUCAAUAGAGAAGGUUUAUGGGAUCAAACCGACCACAGAACAGUAUGCUUGUGUGGUGGAUCUCCUUGCUCGAGUAGGACGGAUAAAUGAAGCAUAUUCUUUUGUAACUAGUAUGCCUAUAGAAGCAAAUGCAAACAUAUGGGGUACAUUGUUGGGUGCCUGCAGGACCCAUCAUGAGGUGGAAUUGGGUGGUGUUGUGGCAAAUCGCUUGUUUGAAAUUGAAGCGAACAAUAUUGGUAACUAUGUGGUGAUGUCAAACCUAUAUGCAGCAAAUGCUAGAUGGGAUGGAGUCAUGGAGAUAAGAAAACUGAUGAAAACGAGAGAUUUGAAAAAGCCAGCAGGAUGUAGCUGGAUUGAAGUGGAGAGAAGGAAGAAUGUGUUUAUAGCUGGUGACUGUUCCCACCCUCAACGGGACAUGAUUUACUGUAUAUUAAGAUUGUUGAAUCGUCAAAUUAAAUAUCCAUUUCAGUUUUCCUACAUCACCUCUUAGACAUAUGAUAUAUGGUGUGGCACAAGCGAAGUCCAAUGGCAGUGCAGAUAAUUUUGGAUUAUAUUGCACUUAAUCUUGAUUGCACUUAAUCUUGAAAAAUGGAAUCCUUUCUGCCCAAUGGCCUUCAGAUGGACAGGGAUUACCCCUUCUUCUAUCUCUUGAAGCAACAUGGAAUGCUUUUAAAAGUUGUGCACUGGGGUGCAGAGCCUGAUUUUUCAAGUUUGCACCAUAUAUUUACCUAUGGUUGGAAAUCAAUUUUCCAGCAGAGGUAACACUCUUCUGUAUCACUUCAUUCUUGCCAAGAGAUUCUGCAUGACUUGUUUUUCAAUGAUUUUGUUUUAUGCUGCUUCUCUCUUUGGUUGUCUAUUUCAUGUUAUGCUUAUAAUCUUAUGCAAUGAGAAUUGGGGAAACUUAUUUUUUUCCCUUUACUAUUAUAACAGUCUAGAAGUUUCACUGUUUGUCUAAUAUUUUAUCUAUUUGCUAUCAUUUUUAUCUUGGCAAUGUUAUUCAACAAUUUAAACUAGGGUAUGACAAUUCUCAUACUUUUAUGUAUUAGUUGUGGUUCAGUGACUGAAUCUUCUUAUAAGCACUGCUCCUUGAAGAUAUGGCAGUUUAGAGAGGGAUUCAGGGUUGGAUGAAUAGGGUUGAAUGAAUUGUCUAAAUUUUGGGUGUUUGGCUAAAUUUUCUCACUUUUCCUCACUUUCUCUUUAAUUCAUUCACUGUAAUAUCAACAAACUUUACAGCCUUUGGUGACAUGUAUAAUUAAUUUAGAUCAAAAGCUCCAGUGCUCCAUUAUAUGCAAGUGAGCAAAACGCUAAAUCAAUUAAUGAGAAAGAAAAAAUAUGACUCAAUAAUAUACGUAAUCUAAUUAGCUAGAAAUAAUUUGUUUUAUGAUAAAACCAAAGGUAUAUUCUGUUAACCAUUACCAAUUCGUGCUCUAGAGGAACAGCGAGAUAAAAACACAAUUUAUGCAUAUUAUGGUAAACUUUGGUCAUAUAACAUAUGAGUGUAGAUUUCUGAGAAAAACAAAGACUUAAGACCUACUUAGAAGAAGGAUAUAUGCUAAAGAUUUGGAGACUAGUCCUCCUAUUGGAUGAAAUUUUUGGCUUUUAUAUCACACAAGUCCCUUCUGACUUUGUUGAUGUGGACAGCUUUUGUAAACAAAUAAAUUUAGCUCCUAGAAAGGCUAUUGGACAAGAAUAUUCAAGGAGUAUAAAUUCCGUAAUAUGUACAAUUGAGCAUACCUUGAUGAAUUGAUCUAUAGUUAGAUAGAUGCCUCAAAAUUUUCCAUUUUAGCACUAGACUUUUUCUCCUUUGUUCGUUUUCAGCAACCUUGCUCUGUCCUUCCUUUUCUUUUAUUCACAUACAUCAUCUAUAAUGUCAGUGGUGAGGAAAAAAUAUACAUCAUCACAACCUGCUGCUAAAUUGCAUUAUAAUCUGGUACAAGACACUCAAUUGCUGAAAAGCAGAUGAGGUUUGUUACAAAAUCAAGUUGCUUUGCCUAUGUACUCUAUAUAUGUAUUUUAUUGGAAAUAAACGAAGUUGUAAUUGGAGGCGAUGCUCUAUCAAAUUCAAGGUGUCUUACUUGUCCUGGGAGAUGUUAGAGGGAACAAGCUUUGAAAAAAUUGUAGAUGGGGUACCCACAGGACUUGGAAGAAUACUGGAGUUUCCUGAUCUUGAUGGAGAUGAACCAGGUCUGAAAUUGAUUGGAGAUUUGACUAUUUCGAGCUUGGGCCUUGUGU